rnacentral:rRNA from 1 species
CAAUAGCGUAUAUUAAAGUUGUUGCGGUUAAAAGCUCGUAGUUGGAUUUCUGUUGAUAACGGCCGGUCCGCACUAUGUGCGUGUAUCAGGUUCGGUGUCGGCAUCCUCGUGGGGAUCGUUUCUGUGCUUGAUUGCAUGGGGCGGAAUUCACGACUUUUACUUUGAGGAAAUUAGAGUGUUCACGGCAAGCUAUCGCUUUGAAUACAUUAGCAUGGAAUAAUGAUAUAGGGCGUAAGUUCUAUUUUGUUGGUUUCUAGAGCUGAAAUAAUGAUUAAUAGGGACAAUUGGGGGCAUUCGUAUUGACGAGUCAGAGGUGAAAUUCUUGGAUUUCGUCACGACGAACUACUGCGAAAGCAUUUGCCAAGGAUGUUUUCAUUGAUCAAGAACGAAAGUAAGGGGAUCGAAGACGAUCAGAUACCGU